CGUCAGACGUUACGCGGUGAGAACGUGCUGCCCUCGUCUGGCUCAUAAAGGAAUGUCCGCCGAGCACACAAAGACUGCCAAAUGAUCUCAUUAUAAAGCAGCUCUGCAGAGUCUGUGGGGUAGGGGUGAGGACAAGCUGGAGAUGGAGGAGAUGGUGUUGGAGUAUGCUGCCAUAAAGGGCGAGGCCUCUAAGAGUCUACUGGAGCUGCUGAGAGACAGAAGCUUCCGAUGGCAGCUCAUCACCAUGGUGGUGGUGUACAGCCACAUCCAGUUCUCUGGCAUCACUGCAGAGCUGCUCAAGUCGUUCAGCUUUGUGCUGUUCACCUGCAUGUGUCUGUUGGCGUCACUCUGUCUUCUUCUACCUACUGGAGACCAAGGGGAAAACCCUCCUGGAGAUCUCAGGGAGUUUAAAAACAUCACUCUGUGUGUAAAACCCCUCUCACAUGACAAGACCCUGGAGACAAAGUUAGAAAAACUGUUGGAAGCAAAAUAACUGAGAUGUAUUAUACUCUGUCUGAGUUGUUUAGUUUGUAUUUUAGUAUUGUCCAUCCUAUAUAUUUAUACUGUGCAUUCACAGCCAUAUACCAUAUUCAAUAAAAACAUG